CCUACGGGAGGCAGCAGUGGGGAAUAUUGCACAAUGGGGGAAACCCUGAUGCAGCCAUGCCGCGUGUGUGAAGAAGGCCUUCGGGUUGUAAAGCACUUUCAGCGAGGAGGAAAGGGUGUAAGUUAAUACCUUACAUCUGUGACGUUACUCGCAGAAGAAGCACCGGCUAACUCCGUGCCAGCAGCCGCGGUAAUACGGAGGGUGCGAGCGUUAAUCGGAAUUACUGGGCGUAAAGCGUGCGCAGGCGGUUUGUUAAGCGAGAUGUGAAAGCCCCGGGCUCAACCUGGGAACCGCAUUUCGAACUGGCAAACUAGAGUCUUGUAGAGGGGGGUAGAAUUCCAGGUGUAGCGGUGAAAUGCGUAGAGAUCUGGAGGAAUACCGGUGGCGAAGGCGGCCCCCUGGACAAAGACUGACGCUCAGCACGAAAGCGUGGGGAGCAAACA
rnacentral:rRNA from 1 species